AGUCGAGCGCGAAGUUUUCGGAUGAGUAGAGCGGCGAACGGGUGAGUAACGCGUGGGAAUCUGCCUGGUAAUGGGGGACAACAUCUCGAAAGGGAUGCUAAUACCGCAUACGCCCUAAGGGGGAAAGUGGGGGAUCUUCGGACCUCACGUUAUCAGAGGAGCCCGCGUCGGAUUAGCUAGUAGGUAGGGUAAAGGCCUACCUAGGCGACGAUUCGUAACUGGUCUGAGAGGAUGAUCAGUCACACUGGAACUGAGACACGGUCCAGACUCCUACGGGAGGCAGCAGUGGGGAAUAUUGGACAAUGGGGGCAACCCUGAUCCAGCCAUGCCGCGUGUGUGAAGAAGGCCUUCGGGUUGUAAAGCACUUUAAGUUGGGAGGAAGGCUUCACGGAUAAUACCUGUGAGGAUUGACGUUACCAACAGAAUAAGCACCGGCUAACUCCGUGCCAGCAGCCGCGGUAAUACGGAGGGUGCAAGCGUUAAUCGGAACUACUGGGCGUAAAGCGCGCGUAGGCGGCCAUUUAAGCUAGAUGUGAAAGCCCAGGGCUUAACCUUGGAACUGCAUUUAGAACUGGAUGGCUAGAGUAUGGAAGAGGAGUGUGGAAUUUCAGGUGUAGCGGUGAAAUGCGUAGAGAUCUGAAGGAACAUCAGUGGCGAAGGCGACACUCUGGUCCAAUACUGACGCUGAGGUGCGAAAGCGUGGGGAUCAAACAGGAUUAGAUACCCUGGUAGUCCACGCCGUAAACGAUGUCGACUAGCCGUUGGCCUCCUUGAGGGGUUAGUGGCGCACUUAACGCGAUAAGUCGACCCGCCUGGGGGAAGUACGGCCGCAAGGUUAAAACUCAAAUUGAAUUGACCGGGGGCCCGCCCCAAGCGGGUGGAGCAUGUUGUUUUAAUUCAACGCAACGCCAAAAAAACCUUACCUACUCUUGGACAUUCCAAAAAAACC
rnacentral:rRNA from 1 species